UACGUAGGGUCCGAGCGUUGUCCGGAAUUACUGGGCGUAAAGAGCUCGUAGGUGGUUUGUCGCGUUGUUCGUGAAAACUCACAGCUCAACUGUGGGCGUGCGGGCGAUACGGGCAGACUGGAGUACUGCAGGGGAGACUGGAAUUCCUGGUGUAGCGGUGAAAUGCGCAGAUAUCAGGAGGAACACCGGUGGCGAAGGCGGGUCUCUGGGCCGAUACUGACGCUGAGGUGCGAAAGCGUGGGGAGCAAACAGG
rnacentral:rRNA from 1 species